UGAGUUGGUAAAAAAGUUUGUUCGGGUUUUUCUGUAACAUUCUAUGGAAACUCCCGAAGGACCUUUUUGGCCAA
rnacentral:miRNA from 1 species